rnacentral:rRNA from 1 species
UACGUAGGGUGCAAGCGUUAAUCGGAAUUACUGGGCGUAAAGCGUGCGUAGGCGGCUUUGCAAGACAGAUGUGAAAUCCCCGGGCUCAACCUGGGAACUGCAUUUGUGACUGCAUGGCUAGAGUGCGGCAGAGGGGGAUGGAAUUCCGCGUGUAGCAGUGAAAUGCGUAGAUAUGCGGAGGAACACCGAUGGCGAAGGCAAUCCCCUGGGCCUGCACUGACGCUCAUGCACGAAAGCGUGGGGAGCAAACAGG